UUAGUUAAUAGUUUUUUCUGACUGUCAUUGUCAAAUGAUGAAUAGUGACAUGUUGAAAUAAGCUUUAAAUUUAGUUUUAAGUUACAGUGUACUAAAAAAAAUGUAAACGAAGUGUAGCAAUUAAAUUAAUGUCUUUAUCGUACUCUUUUCCGCUGGAGCCCUGCAGAGCGAGCCAGUGUUACCACGACAACUUGCCACGCCCCUACUGGCGUGUCAUUCUUCGUCGUUGCCAUGGAUGCAUGUGAGACAGGAAGUCUGUUCCAGCUGUAGCUACAGCUGCAUAGCUAGGAACACAUUACUUAAAGUGUGUUGCGAGACUGCUCUGGGCUCUGUUAAAAGUUUUUGCGCAGAGCCACAGCUCAGUCUCUAGCUUUGCAUCCCUUUCGCGGCGGUUCUCUUGAACAGUUGAAUUUGGACUCCCUCGAUGCUUCCCUACACUGUCUACCCGGUUUCGAACUUUGUUUUGUCCCCGUCUACAGCGCUGGGCCAUGUUUGCCUGUACCCCUGCUUACACCUGGGUUCACUUCACGACACACGGACUACUGCUUUACUCAGAACCGGAAUUUAAUUAUUGAUGGAGUCUGCAAAAAGAAAAAUCCCAGAGGAUGUGUAUCAUCACCAAAGGCAUAACCCUUCAAUGACAAAGAGAAAACCUAAGAAGAGCCACAGGUGAGAAAAUAUUAUUUUUUGCAGGUUAAAUGUAUCCUUGUUUGAGUCCAAGAAUAUUUACUGUGAGUUC
rnacentral:lncRNA from 1 species